GGUUUCCAGUAAGGACUUGUCCGUUUUGCCUUUGUAAAAGAAGAGAGGAGCAGAUGGUAGUUACGCACAACUGGAGCUAAAGGAGAGCAGGCUUGGAGUGUGCCCUUUCAGAGUAUCCCUGCAGUACUGUCCGGGGAGGGGAGGCCUCCUUGAGACUUUGAUAGUCUGGUGUAAAUUCUAUUAACGGCAAGGGGAUAUUGAGAACAAUGAAAAAUCAAUACUGUGUGGCCAGUAAUGUUUGAAGGAUGAGGUUUAGUUGAAAUGUGAGAUGGCAUGGCCUUACCCAGAUGCAGAGACUACCUCUGAAAGUGGUUAAUCAAAUGCGUGUCUGACAUCUAGAUUGCAUUUUCCCUCUCCCCAUUACUGUCAUUUUCCCCCUUCACCGUAGAGAAGAUGCGCUAUCAAAUGUAGGGGUUGGUAAUCAGAGUAAUAAUAGGAGUCUCCAAUCUGAUAUAGCUGCACUAAAGGAUUGGAAACUGUGUUUUGUCUCGAGAGUCUCAGUUUUCAAAAGACAAAUGCAUCAUGUUUCACUUCUGCACCAGAUGCAUCAACACGAGGGGUGGAGAGUUGGGCCGCAGCAGAAAAAGAAACACACAACACGACAAUGUAAGCAAAUUCAAUUUCCCGUUGACAGAACAGGCCUUUAACUGCCACAACUUAUGACAUAAUAGGUGUUUCUCAAUGACUGUACACACAUAGCAAACAAAUAAAUAGUCUUGUUUUCUCGCUAGAAGAGAUUAUAGCUUUAAUCUAUUUAAUAUCACUGAGGCUUCAUAACGCCAUAAUGCAAUGUGCUAAACGUGAGCUCAACAGUGCGCCAGCACAGACAAGUGACAGAAACAAGACACUGCAUCAGGUCACGGCUAAGCUAAGUUUUGCCAGUAAGGAAAUAUGCAUUCAUUUACAUGUUUUCCAUACAGUUGGGACAGAGUUCAACUCAAGCCGAUUUGACUUUAAUGACCACAGUUUGACUCACAAUGAAGCAAAAUCCACAUCAAGUUUACUCAGUUUAAUUGUAACUCACAAGCUUUACCUGCAGUACAAUAAAAUACUAAGUCCCCAGGGACAAAAUUCCA